GCCCCGGAGAAACCGCGGGGGAUGAGCGAGGGGCGAGCUGUGACUCCCCUUCGCUCCUCCGGGGCACA
rnacentral:snoRNA from 1 species